CUUACCUGCAAGUCGAACGGUGAAGCCCCGCUUGCGGGGUGGAUCAGUGGCGAACGGGUGAGUAACACGUGAGCAACCUGCCCCUGACUCUGGGAUAAGCGCUGGAAACGGCGUCUAAUACUGGAUACGAGACGUGAUCGCAUGGUCAACGUUUGGAAAGAUUUUUCGGUUGGGGAUGGGCUCGCGGCCUAUCAGCUUGUUGGUGAGGUAAUGGCUCACCAAGGCGUCGACGGGUAGCCGGCCUGAGAGGGUGACCGGCCACACUGGGACUGAGACACGGCCCAGACUCCUACGGGAGGCAGCAGUGGGGAAUAUUGCACAAUGGGCGCAAGCCUGAUGCAGCAACGCCGCGUGAGGGAUGACGGCCUUCGGGUUGUAAACCUCUUUUAGCAGGGAAGAAGCGAGAGUGACGGUACCUGCAGAAAAAGCACCGGCUAACUACGUGCCAGCAGCCGCGGUAAUACGUAGGGUGCAAGCGUUAUCCGGAAUUAUUGGGCGUAAAGAGCUCGUAGGCGGUUUGUCGCGUCUGCUGUGAAAUCUGGGGGCUCAACCCCCAGCCUGCAGUGGGUACGGGCAGACUAGAGUGCGGUAGGGGAGAUUGGAAUUCCUGGUGUAGCGGUGGAAUGCGCAGAUAUCAGGAGGAACACCGAUGGCGAAGGCAGAUCUCUGGGCCGUAACUGACGCUGAGGAGCGAAAGGGUGGGGAGCAAACAGGCUUAGAUACCCUGGUAGUCCACCCCGUAAACGUUGGGAACUAGUUGUGGGGUCCAUUCCACGGAUUCCGUGACGCAGCUAACGCAUUAAGUUCCCCGCCUGGGGAGUACGGCCGCAA
rnacentral:rRNA from 1 species